UAAGACGUAGGGUGCAAGCGUUGUCCGGAUUUACUGGGCGUAAAGAGCGCGUAGGCGGCUCGUUAAGUGAGAAGUGAAAGCUGUGGGCUCAACCCACAAACCGCUUUUCAUACUGGCGAGCUGGAGUGAUGCAGAGGUGGAUAGAAUUCCCGGUGUAGCGGUGAAAUGCGUUGAUAUCGGGAGGAAUACCCGUGGCGAAGGCGGUCCACUGGGCAUCAACUGACGCUGAGGCGCGAAAGCGUGGGUAGCAAACAGGAUUAGAUACCCUGGUAGUCCACGCCCUAAACGAUGGAUGCUAGGCGUAGGAGGUAUCGACCCCUCCUGUGCCGCAGCUAACGCACUAAGCAUCCCGCCUGGGGACUACGGCCGCAAGGUUG
rnacentral:rRNA from 1 species